rnacentral:lncRNA from 1 species
GAGAUAAUCAUGUAGUUGAGUCGAAGAUCGGUUGAGGAUUUAAUGCUGGAUGAGGUUUUGAAAAGCUUUUGUCAUUCUUUUAAGAUUUCCUAAUGUCAGUUCUUUCUUAGUGCCUAUAGCUGUGUGUUUUGCUUAAAGUGUAUCGACUGCUAGAUCUUCCUAAGAAUCGGCUCCUUGCUAACACUUGCCACCCUAGACCUAGG